rnacentral:rRNA from 1 species
ACUCCUACGGGAGGCAGCAGUAGGGAAUAUUGGUCAAUGGGCGAAAGCCUGAACCAGCCAUGCCGCGUGUCAGAUGAAGGUCCUCUGGAUUGUAAAUGACUUUUCUACGGGAAGAAUGAGCCGUCUGCGGACGGAAGUUGACGGUACCGUAGGAAUAAGCACCGGCUAACUACGUGCCAGCAGCCGCGGUAAUACGUAGGGUGCAAGCGUUGUCCGGAUUUACUGGGUUUAAAGGGUACGUAGGCGGUUGUGCCAAGUCUGGGGUGAAAGUUUGCAGCUCAACUGUAAAAUUGCCUUGGAUACUGGUCGGCUAGAGUAGUGGAGCGGUGGCUGGAAUUUAUAGUGUAGCGGUGAAAUGCUUAGAUACUAUGAGGAACACCAAUUGCGAAGGCAGGUCACUGGUCACUAACUGACGCUGAGGUACGAAAGUGUGGGAUCAAACAGGAUUAGAUACCCUGGUAGGAAAGCG